UACGUAGGGACCGAGCGUUUGUCCGGAUUCAUUGGGCGUAAAGAGCUCGUAGGCGGCUGCUCAAGUCGAAUGUGAAAACUCGAGGCUCAACCUCGAGCCUGCAUUCGAUACUGGGCGGCUAGAGUCUGGUAGGGGGAGUCUGGAAUUCCUGGUGUAGCGGUGGAAUGCGCAGAUAUCAGGAGGAACACCGGUGGCGAAGGCGGGAUCCUGGGCCAGUACUGACGCUGAGGAGCGAAAGCGUGGGGAGCAAACAGG
rnacentral:rRNA from 1 species